rnacentral:rRNA from 1 species
GAUGAACGCUGGCGGCGUGCUUAACACAUGCAAGUCGAACGGAAAGGCCCCAGCUUGCUGGGGUACUCGAGUGGCGAACGGGUGAGUAACACGUGGGUGAUCUGCCCUGCACUUUGGGAUAAGCUUGGGAAACUGGGUCUAAUACCGAAUAUGACCACUUCUUGGAUGUUGUGGUGGAAAGCUUUUGCGGUGUGGGAUGAGCCUGCGGCCUAUCAGCUUGUUGGUGGGGUAAUGGCCUACCAAGGCGGCGACGGGUAUCCGGCCUGAGAGGGUGUACGGACACAUUGGGACUGAGAUACGGCCCAGACUCCUACGGGAGGCAGCAGAGGGGAAUAUUGCACAAUGGGCGCAAGCCUGAUGCAGAGACGCCGCGUGGGGGAUGAAGGCCUUCGGGUUGUAAACUCCUUUCGCUAUCGACGAAGCCACUUGUGGUGACGGUAGGUAGAUAAGAAGCACCGGCUAACUACGUGCCAGCCGCCGCCGUAA